GCAUAUCGUAUGCGCGAUCGAAAGGCGCUGGACACGCGCGCGUAAAUUUCCUUAUUAAGGUUACAAAUUAACAUUUUUGCCCGUUAAUCAUAAAGAAAUUGCAAGCACGUAACUUCUCAUUAAAGUUGCCGUGGCCAGACGUUAAUUACGGUUCCGCGAUAGUUUUUUCUCUUCUCUUUUCGAAACGUUACGCUCGACGCGGUGCCGGAAGCUAGUUGAUUUCCGUGGUUGUGUGAUGUGCGAGUGUAGUGAAGGCGUUGGACGGAACGCGGGAAUAAUCACGAUCAACCGGCCAUCAAGGAAGUGUCCGUUGUUUUGUUUAGAAAAAAAUCAAACCAUGGAAUGAAAUUCGUUACAUGCCAGCGAAUAUCCACGGACGAUUUGUGAUCGACGAAGGAUGGCAGUUUCGAAGCAUGGUUCCUCGUGAUAUGGCGUCCGAACUCGUUGGUCGCUGUUCCCACUCCAGAAAGACCCUCUGCCCGGAAUUGGUCUCCUGUGCCAUCGAUUAAUCAGGCCAGAUAAAGGUCCGUUGGCGUGGAAGUAUGAUCCGGCUUGGUGCAUGCACUUCCGGUUGGCGAAGCGGCACUCGCACCGCUGCUCGCUCUGGUAGCAGCCAAAGGCGAGCGACUAGCCACGUCCGUGCUGUUCUCUGGUCCUGUGUUAUUACAUCCGCCGCCCUGCUGCGAAUUGGUGUGGGAAGACGCCAGCGUGUCCCCGUUACAGUAGUAAUACGUGGAAUCUGCAAAGAAAAGGAAAACACAGCGGCGAGAAAUCGUUUUGCGGAGGGACAAAAGUAAUUUACGAGCAUCGAGGGAAAAUCCUUUCCUGUCCAGCACAUCCACGAGUUUUGUUUCAGAUAAAUAAAUAGGAAAGGUUGUUCGUUCCAGAAAGGAGAACCUGUUGCGACACGCGGAACAAGAUAACGAUCGAAACUUCUUAAAGUUCGUCAUGGUCUUACGACUUUGUAGGAGGAAUCGAUUAAUAACGGAUCCCGAUGUGCAAAGCGCUAUGGUGUGUCCUCGAAUAAAAAUAUCCUUAUCCAGAGUGUGAAGUUUUCUUCACAUUCUUCUUCAGAAAUUACAACAAAUAAA